rnacentral:rRNA from 1 species
AUGGGCGCCGGCUUGUCUGGCUACGUCGACAAAACCAUAGAUGAACCUCCCAAGACCAUCAUCGCCAAGGACAAAGAUGGCAAGGAUCAGGAGAUACCAAACCCUGCCUAUGCCCUCUGGCUUGUCCAAGAUCAGCAAAUCGUCGCCUACCUUCUUCGAAAUCUCUCCAAGGAGGUCCUCAUCCAGGUGGCUUCGUUGGAGACUUCGCAUGCAAUAUGGAUGGCCCUGUCCAACAUGUUUGCUGCUUUCUCUCUCUCUCUCGCGCGCGCGCGUCAACAAUCUUCGUGUUGCCCUCACCAACGCCCAAAAGGGCACACAAUCUGCCUCAACAUACUUCGGCUACAUGCGUUCCAUCUCCGACGAGCUUGCGGCGACGGGCAAACCUCUCGGAGAGCCGGAGCUCAUCUCUUUCAUUGUAGCCGGCCUCGACAUGGAGUAUCAACCUCUCAUCUCCGCACUGGAUGUCCGCACCGAGCCCAUCACGGUCGACCAUCUCUUCUCCCUCGUGGCUAA